rnacentral:rRNA from 1 species
UACGUAGGGUGCGAGCGUUGUCCGGAAUUACUGGGCGUAAAGAGCUCGUAGGUGGUUUGUCGCGUUGUUCGUGAAAUCUCACGGCUUAACUGUGAGCGUGCGGGCGAUACGGGCAGACUAGAGUACUGCAGGGGAGACUGGAAUUCCUGGUGUAGCGGUGGAAUGCGCAGAUAUCAGGAGGAACACCGGUGGCGAAGGCGGGUCUCUGGGCAGUAACUGACGCUGAGGCGCGACAGCGUGGGGAGCAAACAGG